UUUUAUUCGCGUUAGUGACCGCGGCGGCAUCCCCGCAGCAAAGCAAGGGAUUAAGCCAAGGGCACGACCGACG
rnacentral:sRNA from 1 species